UGCAGGUAGGGCAGUCCAGCCUGACUCUGCAGCUCCCGCUUGUUUCACGGUGUUGAGCACUGCUGAGCUGCUGCUCCCCAAGAUCUGGGGAUGAGAAGCAGCAGUUGUGAGGAGUGAGGAGGCCAUGAAAAAGAGCUCUGCUCGUCUCUCUUCUGUUUCUGGGGGCGGAGCCCAGCUAUGGGCAGACAUCCUGUUCACCCCACCCUUCAGGAGAGAGAGGAUGAGGAAGGACCGGCACUCUCUCGGCCUGGGCGGGCACGCAUCCAGAGAGGCCCAUCUGACUGCGAGAUAAUUUCAAGGCUGAAGAACGCAGUCGGCGCCAGACACCUCCACACAGCGCUGUGCAAGACCGGCCUAGUUCUUCAGGUCCCAUCUCCCAGUGGGGUGGGGGCACCCAUGGAUAUGCAUAAGGGAGGCUCUGCUAAACAUUCCAAGUAAAAAUACUUUUAAAUAUUUCAGUACAUCGGGAACCAAAUGCAUUUCAGUUGGGGCUCAUUCCAGCUGAUGAAAGUAUAGGCGUCAGAUGAUUUGCAUAAGUCGACUGAGGAAAUUCGGUGAGAGACAGGAACAAGAUUCAGACACCCACAGGACUGGCUGGCUGUCGUGGUCUGGCACCUGAUCCAUCGAAGCUUGGUCAGCAGAGUGGAGAGACCCUGGCAGACCCCUGAAGCCCCCCAGGAGCCUGUGUUGUGGACAGCCCCCAUGGAUUCCGCUUACAGGGAGCAAUUUAAGAGACAAACAAAACAUGAAAAGCUACCCGGAAUUAACAAUGGGCCAGAUGGUAAUGCUAGUUUGAAGCAAUAAAACA